AAAGCUCAAAUUUGAAAUCUGGCAGUCUUUUUUUUCUUCUUUGGCUGUCCGAGUUGUAAUCUAGAGAAGUGCUUACCUGCACUGGACCAUGUAUAAGUCUCCUGGAAUGGAGCGUCACAGAGGGUGAGAAUCCCGUCUUUGACAUGGACUGCCAGUGUGUUGUGGUGUGCUCUCAAAGAGUCGAGUUGUUUGGGAAUGCAGCUCUAAAUGGGUGGUAAACUCCAUCUAAAGCUAAAUAUUGGCGAGAGACCGAUAGUGAA
rnacentral:rRNA from 1 species